UGUUGUACUGAAGCCGGUUGCCAUUUUUAUGGCAUGAAGAAUGCUAAUGUACUUCUUUGUCUAUUCCUUGGGUUACAUUUUUCAAACAGGUUUUUUUUUCUUUAUUUCAUUCAACUUUGUUUUCCUCAAUAUGUUUACCUAGUUGCUAUGCUCUCUUUUUUUCCUAUUGCUCUUGUUUAAUUAGGGAUUUCCAUUCUCACUCAGCCUACUGUAUUUUACUGCUGGUGAAUUUACUCUGAUGCUCUUCUUGUCUUGGUGUGGGAGCUGAGAAAAAAAUCUCUCUCCACUCACCCCCUUGGAAAAGAAGUCAAUGUCAACCUCCUCAUCCCUGGAACCUGUGAAUAUGUUAAUGCAAGUGUCAAAAGAGGCUUUUUAGCUGACAAGGCUGAGACUGUCUUGGGAAAUGUGCCUACCGUUUAGUGGCUGCAAGAGUCCAAGCCCAUGUGUGUGGAACAGCGUGAGGCAGGACCUGCUUGAGGUCCGAAAGCAACGGAAGCUGCUGCUGCUGCUUCACAGUGCCUCUCCUGUGUCCCUUGUGAGAACAAGCCCGCUGGUGCUGGUAAGAAGGGACUAUUGAAUGGGAUACAAAGGACAGUGGGGAUCUAGGCCGAGCCCAGAGAUGAACUGUGUGAUUCUGCUCAUCAGUCAGCACAAGGCUGCACAGUACAGAAAGAAACUCAAGAUGCUUCUCCAUCUUCGUUAAUAUAACCCCCAGCAGAAGUAGUAAAUUCCAAGGGAAAAUACUUAGAAGGAUUGGAGCGAGCCCAAGGAGACAAGGGGAGAGCAGUGAGUUAUUUGAGGAAAUGGUGGAAGAGGGCCUAAGGGGAUGAGGUGUAUCAGAGAAACAUGGAAGAACAUGUCGGUAUGAACUGGGCAAGGACAGGUUAUAUUACCAAGAAGGUGUGACAGCACUAAUAGCCUAAAGCAGGCCCAAUGUCAUAGGAUCCUCAGGUCCUGACCUGAGUAUAGACACACCUGGUCCAAGACCCCAGCACAGAGGUACCUUCUCAGUUGAUGUUCUCAAGUUCAACCCUAUACAGACCCAUCAGCACCCCCUGUGUUCAUCAUUCACUUCCUUGUCAUCUUUCACAUGCAUCUAAGUUCUCUAAUCUGUUUUUGUCCCAACCAAAGAGUGAUAAUUCCUCUGAUUACCAAAGUGCUGCAUUAGUUGUCCCUAUGUUUUAAUGUUAUGUAAAUAGGAAUGCACAACACAUGCUUUAUGUCUACUUCUUUUCAGUCUCUGUAUCUGUGUUUGUAAUCAUCAUCCGUGUUAUAUGUGACUAUAGUUCAUUCAUUCUUGGCAUAUAGAUAGUGUCUUAAUUGAUUAUACUUUUAUGAGCAUUUGGGUUACAUUUCAGUCUAGGGUUACUCUAAAAGGAGAUAUUCUGAAAAUUCUAUUACAUGUUUUUGCUAUAUGGACAUAUGUCUGUUUGGUGAAUGCCUCAGAGUUAAAGUGCUAGGCUUUCGUGUCCGUAUUCUAUCUCAACUCUUUAGACCUCAAUCUUUCAAGAUUUUACUUUGUAAUGCAAUCACAUGUUGCUCUACAUUUAUUCUUGCACGCUCUUUCCUGCGCCCUCAUUUACUUUGGAAUCAAACAGUUCUGUAUUCUGAAAACUCAUAUAUUCUUUCUCUUACAGCCAUUGAUUCUCAUAUCCUUCUGUUCUUUCACUGUUACUUUAGAUUUCACAGGUACAUUAAUUCCACUAGUCUCAAAGAGAAUACUCCCAAUAAUUCUGUUGCACAUCUAAGCCACCUAACAACAUGUGAAAUAUGCACACACAAAUCCAUAAUCGUAGGACACGCAGUCUGCACACAUAGAUAUGUGCUGACCUAAAACACAGACACAAAGCACACAUACCAUUCUCACGCACACAGGACUCACUCCAAAUUCAACUGUGCAAACACCAGAUCAGUCACACAUUAAACCCUAACCUAGUUUAAACCAUCAGGUUAAGAAUUUAUGCACACAACGCACAUGACAUUCAUCACACCAUUCUGCCACAAUGUGCGCAUGAUGCACACACCUGACAUAUUCAUCGGAGAUGAAGGUCAUUUUAAUUCACUGAGGAAAAGUGAGCUUGGUCAGUAAACAAAGACAGUGACUAAUAAUAUAAAAUAAAUUCUGCAAAGAUAAAAAUUCACCAAUUGUUUCAUGUGAGGUUGUAAAUCUAGGAGGGGGAGUGCAAAGGGCACACCCACACACAAAAAAAUGGUAGAGGAAAGCAACUAGUACCAAAAGUCUUAAGCAAGGUGAGUGAGUGUGAGGAGCCUGGACUACAG